UUGCUGCAGCAGAUGGAUGGUGAAGGCCGCAACAGUUCGCCGCCUCCUCUACUAAGCACCUGGCAGUCGGGAUGCUCCAAACCUUCAUGUAAAUUGGUGCAAUUAGCAGCAAGGGAGGAUGAGCAGCGGGAGUGGUAUACUCGUUUCAAGACCAGGGAAGAACACAUUGGUGUUCAGGUGGAUGGUGACGAGGCUGGUACUCUUGUGUCUUGUCGGCGCUGGUGCCGCGGGCUUCACCUUCGACAAGUACAACCUCAGGGUAA